AUGAUUUAUCCCACCGUUAUUAGUUGCAAUUUCUUCCUCACUAAUGGAAUCUGCAAAUUAUGGCUCAACUAUUGAGAAAUUGCAAAAGGAGGUGGUCGAGCUUAGUCGAGAAAAAACCCUAAUAUUUUGGGGCUAUUUGAAAAUGUGGAGCUUGGAUUAAUAGAAGGAGGUGGUUGUUUCAGGUGGAGGAGAUAAAGUUUAUGGGUGAAGAAAAAAAAAAUCAAAUCUUGGAACUAGUCAAAGAGCUGGAAUGAUUUUGUUGACGGGCGGGAUGGUGGUUGUUAUUGACGGGCGUAGAAGGAGGUGGUUAUUGGCGUUCAUAGCUUUUACAUAGUCGGAGGUUCUACUGCAGACGUUGGCGGCAGGAUGGCGGCAGAGUCGGCGGUUGAUGGCUGCCUUUCGAUAGUUCUUACAGAGUCGUUGUUCUGGGUGAAGUCCCUUUUGAGAGG
rnacentral:lncRNA from 1 species